AUUCCAUGAUGAGGACACUUCCUAAGAAGUUCCUUGAACAUCUUCCAAGCAUCAAAAACUACUUCUUCAUCCCCUCGCUGAAACAACAAAAUCUUAUUUCUAAAUUU